AGAAAAGGGGCAGACGAGAAAGAAAGUGGGAGAUAGAGAGAAUCCAUGUAUAUCCAAGCACUUGCAGACAAAGUGAGGUUCAGAGAAGAAAAGCAACAUUUGCUUUACGACCCAGAAAAGGAGAUUUCAAACCACCGUAAGGGUUAGCUUAGGAAAUUGCGUGGUUACUAACCCAACCACACCAUUUCUUUUCUUUGUUGUUUUUCUUUUUUAAAAGAAAUUUUUGUUAGAAAAAGAAAAGAAUUUCUCUUCCAUUGUUUCUUUACUUCAAUUUUUCUUUUUUGCUUUUUCUUGAUUCAUAUUUUCUCUUCCCUUUCUCUCUCAUAUCAUGGUGUCUAUAUUUAGUUGCAAGCUGAGGUGCAACUACAACCCCACAUCUUUCCUUCUUUCCCUCUCAAAAUAACACAUACAAACCCCACACAUCAAAAUAAAAUACCAGGAUUUAGCUUCUCUCUAUUGCCUUCUUUUAUGCCAAUUCUUUAGGGUUUUAAUUCAUUUUGUUUUUCUUGUUUAAUUUCAUGUGGGACUUUUCAAACACCAAUCUUCCCCCUUAUUUGAUUAUGACCCAGUUCCUGUUUUCCAUACAUCUCUCCCCUCCAUAAAUACCACUCUCCCCUCCUCUCUCUUUCCCUUCAAUCUCUACCCUUCUCUAUUUCUGUCUCUCUCUCUCUCCCUGUCUGUCUUUGUUUGCCCUAAUUUUGCUCCUCCUGUAGCACUUUCUUCUCCUCGAAUUGUAAGCAUAGAGAAGACAAAUUUUUUCAUCUAUUUUAGAUGCAUACUUGUAUAUUCACUUCUUGCUCUUGCAUUGAACAUUCAUGCUCAUACAUAUAUAUUUAUAUAUAAUAUAAUAUACGCAUCACAUACAAUCAUGGAUCAUACAUAAGAUACAUGCUUACAUAGUUAGAGAAAUGCUUAUUUUAAGCUUUAAUCAUCAUGCAUCAUCAUCAUUAUCAUAUCAUNNN
rnacentral:lncRNA from 1 species